rnacentral:lncRNA from 1 species
GGGGCCGCGCCUGAUAGAAGAACUGACAAAUAACUCCCACAGGUUAUUAUUAUUAUUAACACGUGUUUAUCAAAUAAUAGUGCUAUCCUCGAAAAUAAAAUGACAAACCCGAUGUAACGCCAUCUCUUAUCGAACGACAAAACUUACAGAACAACCAGUUAUAUUGAUUUAAUAUAAUUUUAUAGAUCAGUAACUACUAACAUUUAAAAUGUUUGUUUGUUGAUAAUUAUUUAUCAGAGCGUUUAAACUUCGUAACUUCAUUUCUGAAAACAAGAACCAUAUUUUGUGUAAAAAAGCACUUUCAGAACCGAAGUCUACAAAGUUCGUUCAAAUUAUUUAUUCAAAUGCAUCGGUCUCUAAUAUUCAAUAAUAUUGAAUGUAAAAUAUUGCUCAUUUGUUUUUUUUUAAUCGUGUGGAAAAUAUAUCUCAUAAAGAAACUUUGUCGGACUUAUGCGCAUCUUCUUUUGUUCUUUUUUCAUAUUUUCCUUUCGUCUAUUCAGGUAGACAGUAAAUGGUCUAACCUCAAAAUUAUUUUGAUAGUUUCAUCACAUGUGGCCUACAGUAUUUAUAUAUUUGGAAUUAUAUAUUUCGUCUUUUGUACUUUCUAAUGAACAAAAAAGAAAAUAUACACAAACAGGAACAAUGACGGAAGAUCCCUAAUAUUGUUAUAUUACAAGUUACAUAGUUGCAUGUCCUGGUCCAAAUUAGAGACAUUUAUUAUCUUAUGCCAGUUUAUUAAGGAAAUCCUUACAGUUUUCUUACGUUACAACGGUAUAAAGGAGUACUUACUUCAUCCCAUUCAGCCUCCUAUACAAGGUUACUCACUGCUUAAAGAACGCAGAACAAAACUUAAACAAAGUCUUAUGGUGAUAAGAAAUUAUUGUAAACAUGCACAGCAACACUGCGUCUAAAAUUGUUCCCUCAGUGCGAUAGAGAAAAGUGUUUGUAAACAGGGUAUGCAUCGGGAGAAGUGUAUCGGGCCGACCGCGCCAGAGAUGGAGUGAUAACCAGUGGUGUCAUGGUGCGGGAACGCCGUUCCGGCACUGGUUAAGAAAAGAAAAAAUAAAUAAAUAGAGAAUUUAGGUUUUGUAAAAAAAAUUAGCAGUGCGUUCCGGCACUGCUAAUUUUGCCAUGACACCACUGGUGACAACCUUCCAUAGAGGUAUCAAUCUGCCAAUGAACAAGCAGAAUUUCUUAUAAAGAUGAAGAAGAAUAAGUUUGGAAAGAGAUGCAUACCCUGUUUACAAACACUUUUCUCUGUCGCACUGGGGUUUAGAUUGGAUUGCAGCGCGAGGUGUAUGUAUUAUUGUAUAUGGAUGUAAAUGCUUGUAACUUAAACGAAUUUGAGGUUAUGAAUAUACACCAAGACUCCAAUAGUCCUCCAAUACUCACUCCCUAGGCGCAUCCUGAGAUAACCGGUACAGUUUCUUUAUCACAGAUAAAUAUAAUCGUAGUAACGUACUAUUUUAAUAAAUAAAAAUCGUGUUUUAUCAAA